rnacentral:rRNA from 1 species
UGCAUAUCAAUAAGCGGAGGAAAAGAAACCAACAGGGAUUGCCUCAGUAACGGCGAGUGAAGCGGCAAAAGCUCAAAUUUGAAACCCUCGGGAUUGUAAUUUGAAGAUUUGGCAUUGGAGAAAGCUAACCCAAGUUGCUUGGAAUAGUACGUCAUAGAGGGUGACAACCCCGUCUGGCUAACCGUUCUCCAUGUAUUGCCUUAUCAAAGAGUCGAGUUGUUUGGGAAUGCAGCUCAAAGUGGGUGGUAAACUCCAUCUAAAGCUAAAUACUGGUGAGAGACCGAUAGCGAACAAGUACUGUGAAGGAAAGGUGAAAAGAACUUUGAAAAGAGAGUGAAAUAGUAUGUGAAAUUGUUGAUAGGGAAGGAAAUGAGUGGAGAGUGGCCGAGGUUUCAGCCGCCCCUCGUGGGCGGUGUACUGCCGACGCCGAGUCAUCGAUAGCGAGACGAGGGUUACAAAUGGGAGCGCCUUCGGGCGUUCUCCCCUAACCCUCCACACUGCCACCGACGACAUAAUCCACCCAUUUCACCCGUCUUGAAACCACGG